rnacentral:misc_RNA from 1 species
GAUGAAGAACGCAGCGAAAUGCGAUACGUAAUGUGAAUUGCAGAAUUCAGUGAAUCAUCGAGUCUUUGAACGCACAUUGCGCCCCUGGUAUUCCGGGGGGCAUGCCUGUCCGAGCGUCAUUGCUGCCCUCAAGCACGGCUUGUGUGUUGGGCCUCCGUCUUCCUCCCGGGGGACGGGCCCGAAAGGCAGCGGCGGCACCGCGUCCGGUCCUCGAGCGUAUGGGGCUUCGUCACCCGCUCUUGUAGGCCCGGCCGGCGCUUGCCGACACAUCAAUCUUUUUUCCAGGUUGACCUCGGAUCAGGUAGGGAUACCCGCUGAACUUAAGCAUAUCAAUAAGCGGAGGA